GCACUCUAAAAUGCAUGUUGGGUUGGGCCAGCAAGAAGACUGCGACUAGGGAGACGAAGAAUGGAAUUGAAAAAGGCAUAGUCUACAAUUCAUUAUGUUGAAUUCACCUUUUUCCAGAGCACAGGGUGCCCAAUCUUUCUCUGCUGAAUCAAUUGUUGUUACACGUGUCAUGGGGUAAGAUACAACCCCUCACUCCAUGUUGGGUGUGAAGUCUUUUUUAAAAAAACCUCUGUCCGAG
rnacentral:lncRNA from 1 species